rnacentral:rRNA from 1 species
GACGAACGCUGGCGGCGUGCCUAAUACAUGCAAGUAGAACGCUGAAGCUUGGUGCUUGCGCCGAGCGGAUGAGUUGCGAACGGGUGAGUAACGCGUAGGUAACCUGCCUGGUAGCGGGGGAUAACUAUUGGAAACGAUAGCUAAUACCGCAUGAUAUUGAUUAUUGCAUGAUAGUCAAUUAAAAGGUGCAAUUGCAUCACUACCAGAUGGACCUGCGUUGUAUUAGCUAGUUGGUGAGGUAACGGCUCACCAAGGCAACGAUACAUAGCCGACCUGAGAGGGUGAUCGGCCACACUGGGACUGAGACACGGCCCAGACUCCUACGGGAGGCAGCAGUAGGGAAUCUUCGGCAAUGGACGGAAGUCUGACCGAGCAACGCCGCGUGAGUGAAGAAGGUUUUCGGAUCGUAAAGCUCUGUUGUAAGAGAAGAACGAGUGUGAGAGUGGAAAGUUCACACUGUGACGGUAUCUUACCAGAAAGGGACGGCUAACUACGUGCCAGCAGCCGCGGUAAUACGUAGGUCCCGAGCGUUGUCCGGAUUUAUUGGGCGUAAAGCGAGCGCAGGCGGUUAGAUAAGUCCGAAGUUAAAGGCUGUGGCUUAACCAUAGUACGCUUUGGAAACUGUUUAACUUGAGUGCAAGAGGGGAGAGUGGAAUUCCAUGUGUAGCGGUGAAAUGCGUAGAUAUAUGGAGGAACACCGGUGGCGAAAGCGGCUCUCUGGCUUGUAACUGACGCUGAGGCUCGAAAGCGUGGGGAGCAAACAGG